UACGGGGGGGGCAAGCGUUGUUCGGAAUUACUGGGCGUAAAGGGCUCGUAGGCGGCCCACUAAGUCCGACGUGAAAUCCCCAGGCUUAACUUGGGAACUGCGUCGGAUACUGGUGGGCUUGAAUCCGGGAGAGGGAUGCGGAAUUCCAGGUGUAGCGGUGGAAAUGCGUAGAUAUCUGGAGGAACACCGGUGGCGAAGGCGGCAUCCUGGACCGGUAUUGACGCUGAGUGAGCGAAAGCCAGGGGAGCAAACGGG
rnacentral:rRNA from 1 species